rnacentral:lncRNA from 1 species
GUUGACAAUUUUACAGAUGACAUCAGAUAUGUUUGCCAUAGACACAGCCCCGUAUUACUUUCCUCAAAUAUGUCAUCAUCGAAUGAGACUCACCAACGAUUCUGCAAUUACAUAUGAAAUACGACAGCUGCCUAAUGUGAAGCAGGAUCUGCUUACCUUCCCAGUACACCUGAUAUCCCCCGGUUCUUGAUGUGUUUCAUGUUGUUCAGUUUUAAUUUUUAAUGUUGCGUUUAGUAGACUUUGUUUUUUUUUUCUUUUUAUGCCAUGUUGUUGUAAGUCUGUCUUCCACUUACAUCACUUUAUCUUCAGCCACCAAUUGUGUCAAUGUUUUGAUUGUACCAGUUUGGUGUAUAGACAAAUAGAUAUGGAAUUUUAAAUGGUCAUUGACUUGUUUUUAGAUUGAGUUAAUCAAGCUUCAGUUUAAGUAUUUG